UUUGAAGUUAAUGGGCAGCAAUUCAAUCUUAAUGGGCUAAAAAAUGAGCGGUUUCAAAACCAAAUUAACAAGUGUUCAAACACCAGGUUAAUGUGUCAAUAAGCUGUAUUCUGGAAGGGAAUAAAAUGGACGUGUUGAAUGUGAGAAAACAAACUUGCAAAUUUUAACCUCAGUAAAAAGGACAAGUUUCUAAUUAAAACGUGUACAGGGGAGAGCACAUGAUAAUGCAUGAUUCUGUAACCCAUCUGCUGGAUGUCCUCUGGCAGCGAGAGCAGGCCAUGCAUUAAUGCAUGCGCAGGACUGACUAGGACUACUGAAUACUUGGUAAAAUUUUGAGUGAUACUCCCAGUAAAACAUAAAAUCACAUCAGGGUUAUGAGUACUAUCGUAGCCAGAUUAGCAGUUCAAAAAAUCGUAGCCAGACUAGGAGGUAAAAUGAGAUUGGAAAGGAAAAUGAAGGGGAAGGAACGGAGGGUGACGAUAAGGUGCUACAAUUAGAGACUACAAGAUUAAAUGUACAAUGAACUAAUAUUAGGAUUAAUGGCUCAAAAGUUGCAUGUAAGGUAGAUCCUAGUAAACUACAAUUCUUCUUUCAGAUGCUCAGUAGUAGUAUCACUCGUCUUGUCCUUCUUACUCUGAAGCUUCUCAAUAACUUCUUCCAAGGGAGGGUCUCCAGGUCUACGGAAGACUUGAUCCCCAAUCUUGAUCUCAUAAGCCUCUGGUUGGUUUAAGAUGAACUCCUUCAACUAGUAAGAGAAGAUGGAAAGAUGACAUGGUAGAAGAACAUGAAAUCAGAUUUCCAAGUAAUUGCAUACCAAACUAAAAACACUGAACAAGAAUGUAAUGUGGAUUUCACUGGUUAGAUAUGAGAUCAAAAACAAAAGAUUCAGUAAAUUGUGUUAAAAAAUUAAACAGUUCCAGUAUCAUUCAUGGAAAUGGGAUUUCUUGUGUGAUGUGGACGUCACUGAAGACAAAUCAAAUUACCAAAUAAGCAACCACUAAAGUUAGGAAUGGACAAAUUGCAGCAGUCAGCACUCAAAAAAGUCAAACCACUUAUUUUGAAGUAACAAAUAUAAUGAGCUUACUUCAAUCAUGUUUUGACCUUUUUCCAUGGUGAGCAUGAUUGUGCUGGUAUCAACACCCAUGAACUUCACCUCAAUUGCCCCAGUCCUUAGAACUUUUGUCCAUUUCAUUGCAUGCUCAGCCACCAUAUCCGGAGUCCGGCGCACACCCAAUUGAAGCUUAACGAACCCAAAAACCGGCCCGAAAUGCUGCUUCCUCAUCAACUCCUGGAUCUGCGACAUGUCCAUGUUGGACAAAUCGGAAGGCGGUGGAUCAAACUCAUCGGAAGACGGCGUUGAUUUCUUGCCCCACUGUUUCCAGGCCUCGUCCUCCUCGUCGUCAAUCACGUCAUCGAGAUCAUCCUCGAUGUGGAUUCUUCGCUUCCCACCGUCCGCUAAUUGGAAAAAAUGGUCAUUCCGGGAAAAUACCAAGGGCAGAAGGAGAAUAAUGAAGAAGUUAGGUCUGGUCAUGAUAAAUGUGUGCAAAAUUGAGAUAAUACCGUAACUGAGCGUGGCCUGCGUAUACUGUAUAUAUAUGUUGGUGAUGAGAGUUGCUAGAGACGAGAGACGAGAGACGAGAGGCAGCCAACCUGAGCAGACGAUGAGUGCGUAUUGGCCUUGGGCUAAGUGAAGAUGACAAAGAAAAGGCUCAUGAAUUUUACAAACUGCAAUAGAGACGAAAUGGAAAUGGGCCAAUU
rnacentral:misc_RNA from 1 species